GGAGUGGUAGUUCAGUUGGUUAGAAUAUCGGCCUGUCACGCCGGGGGUCGCGGGUUCGAGUCCCGUCCACUCCG
rfam:Gallionellales bacterium RBG_16_56_9 RBG_16_scaffold_12848, whole genome shotgun sequence.